AGAGUUUGAUCCUGGCUCAGAUUGAACGCUGGCGGCAUGCUUUACACAUGCAAGUCGAACGGUAACGCGGGGGCAACCCUGGCGACGAGUGGCGAACGGGUGAGUAAUACAUCGGAACAUAUCCAGUAGCGGGGGAUAACCUAUCGAAAGAUGGACUAAUACCGCAUACGAUCUACGGAUGAAAGCAGGGGACCGCAAGGCCUUGCACUAUUGGAGUGGCCGAUGUCGGAUUAGCUAGUUGGUGAGGUAAAGGCUUACCAAGGCGAUCCGUAGCUGGUCUGAGAGGACGAUCAGCCACACUGGAACUGAGACACGGUCCAGACUCCUACGGGAGGCAGCAGUGGGGAAUUUUGGACAAUGGGCGCAAGCCUGAUCCAGCCAUGCCGCGUGAGUGAAGAAGGCCUUCGGGUUGUAAAGCUCUUUCGGUGAAGACGAAACGGUUCGUGCUAAUAACGCGGACUAAUGACGGUACUCACAGAAGAAGCACCGGCUAACUACGUGCCAGCAGCCGCGGUAAUACGUAGGGUGCAGGCGUUAAUCGGAAUUACUGGGCGUAAAGCGUGCGCAGGCGGUUUGCUAAGACAGGUGUGAAAUCCCCGGGCUUAACCUGGGAAUUGCGCUUGUAACUGGCAAGCUAGAGUGUGGCAGAGGGGGGUAGAAUUCCACGUGUAGCAGUGAAAUGCGUAGAUAUGUGGAGGAAUACCGAUGGCGAAGGCAGCCCCCUGGGUUAACACUGACGCUCAUGCACGAAAGCGUGGGGAGCAAACAGGAUUAGAUACCCUGGUAGUCCACGCCCUAAACUAUGUCAACUAGUUGUCGGGGAAGAAAUUCCUUGGUAACGAAGCUAACGCGUGAAGUUGACCGCCUGGGGAGUACGGCCGCAAGGUUAAAACUCAAAGGAAUUGACGGGGACCCGCACAAGCGGUGGAUUAUGUGGAUUAAUUCGAUGCAACGCGAAAAACCUUACCUACCCUUGACAUGCUAGGAAGCCCGCAGAGAUGUGGGUGUGCCCGAAAGGGAACCUAGACACAGGUGCUGCAUGGCUGUCGUCAGCUCGUGUCGUGAGAUGUUGGGUUAAGUCCCGCAACGAGCGCAACCCUUGCCAUUAGUUGCUACAUUCAGUUGGGCACUCUAAUGGGACCGCCGGUGACAAACCGGAGGAAGGUGGGGAUGACGUCAAGUCCUCAUGGCCCUUAUGGGUAGGGCUUCACACGUAAUACAAUGGUCGGUACAGAGGGCUGCCAACCCGCAAGGGGGAGCUAAUCCCAGAAAGCCGAUCGUAGUCCGGAUUGUAGUCUGCAACUCGACUGCAUGAAGCCGGAAUCGCUAGUAAUCGCGGAUCAGCAUGUCGCGGUGAAUACGUUCCCGGGUCUUGUACACACCGCCCGUCACACCAUGGGAGUGGGUUCCACCAGAAGUAGUUAGCCUAACCGCAAGGAGGGCGAUUACCACGGUGAGAUUCAUGACUGGGGUGAAGUCGAAACAAGGUA
rnacentral:rRNA from 1 species